CCUUUCAUUCUUUCAUCUCCCUCCCCUCUAAGCCUAACCCUAGCCGCCCCAAAAUUCCCACACCCCACUGGCCGGCGGCCGGCCUCCAAACCCUCCCAAAUUCACACCCCACACUCCUCACCUCAUCCUCAAUCCAAAUCUACCUUCAAUUUUCCUAAAAAAACCACGCAAAAUCCUCGAAUUUUAUAUCUAAAAAACGGCCAGAAUACCCAGUUUAGUUCUUUCCGAUUCCUUCAUCAAGUUCAAGCUGUUUUGAGUUGAAAUUAUUUGUUCUUUUCAAGAACAAUUAAUUAAUAUAAGUUUUAGUUCAUUACGGAAUCCGGUCGAGCCUCUUGUUUUUCUUCAAGAUGGGUCGUUUUUCUUUACUAGAGACCAAUGGAGAUUUAGUGAAUAUAGCACUUGGUGAAAGAUCUGUUUGAGGCGUAUAUGUACAGAUGUUCAGUCACAAUUUUGAAUUCGUUUGAAUGUUAAAAGCAGUUGUUUGA